UACGAAGGGGGCUAGCGUUGUUCGGAAUUACUGGGCGUAAAGCGCGUGUAGGCGGGUCUUUAAGUCAGGGGUGAAAUGCCAAGGCUCAACCUUGGAACUGCCUUUGAUACUGGAGACCUUGAGUCCGGGAGAGGUGAGUGGAAUUGCGGGUGUAGAGGUGAAAUUCGUAGAUAUUCGCAAGAACACCAGUGGCGAAGGCGGCUCACUGGCCCGGAACUGACGCUGAGACGCGAAAGCGUGGGGAGCAAACAGG
rnacentral:rRNA from 1 species